UACGUAGGUGGCAAGCGUUGUUCGGAAUUACUGGGCGUAAAGCGUGUGUAGGCGGCUCUGCAAGUCGGAUGUGAAAGCCCUGGGCUCAACCCAGGAAGUGCACUCGAUACUGCAGAGCUUGAGUAUCGGAGAGGUUGGUGGAAUUCUCGGUGUAGAGGUGAAGUUCGUAGAUAUCGAGAGGAACACCGGUGGCGAAGGCGGCCAACUGGACGAAUACUGACGCUGAGACACGAAAGCGUGGGGAGCAAACAGG
rnacentral:rRNA from 1 species